rnacentral:rRNA from 1 species
AUGAACUACCUUUUUGGCUCCAUGCCUGCUUCUUUGGGUCUCCUAUCAAAGCUCACGUCACUCAGCGUUAGCCAUAACAAUCUAACUGGUGAUAUUCCAAUGUCAUUCUCCAACCUCACAGCCCUCACUAACCUUAGCAUGAGUAGCAACCACUUCCAUGGCCAAAUCCCGAGCUGGCUCGGCAACCUGACAUCACUGACACACGUAGAAUUAGGCCAGAAUGGUUUCAGUGGCCAUAUCUCUCCGGCUCUCGGUAAGAUGGCUAAUCUUGUUAGAUUCGACAUCAGGGCUAACAAACUGGAAGGCCUUUUUCUCACGUCCCUGUUCAAUACUUCUUCCAUCACAUACUUCAGCAUCGGCUUCAACCGGUUCUCGGGAUCUCUUCCGCUUGAUAUUGGCUUUAAGCUUUCCAAGCUAAAUCUUUUGGCCAUACAUGGGAACCAAUUCGUAGGACGAAUACCAUCUUCCUUGUCAAAUGCAUCUGCACUUGAAUAUUUAUUUCUUUGCAAAAAUAAGCAUCAUGGUCCUAUUCCACGGGACAUUGGCAUCCAUUGUCAUUUCCGGAAAUUUUCGUUAGGACACAAUUUGCUUCAAACCAUAGAGCCUAGGGAUUGGGAUUUCCUCACAUCAUUUACAAACUGUAGCAACCUGGAAAUACUAGACCUUGAACAAAACAACCUCGAAGGUGUUAUGCAAGUUACCAUUGCUAAUCUAUCUACAAAGCUCUACUGGAUUACAAUAGGUAGAGACAAAAUAACUGGGACCAUACCUGCAGGGCUAGGAAAGUAUAAAAAACUUACAAAGUUUAACAUCGCAAAUAGCCUUUUCAUAGGCACCUUGCCUCUAGAUAUUUGCCAGAUUCCUAGCCUACAGUAUCUUGAUCUAUCCCACAAUAGAUUCUAUGGGAAGAUUCCACAAUCAUUAGGCAAUAUCACGCAAUUGAACAACCUCUCUCUUUCUAAUAACUUUCUGGACGGCGUCAUUCCAUCGAGCAUUGGAAAUAUCACAAAACUUAUAUCUCUGGAUCUUUCCGGUAACUCAUUGAGGGGGGAAAUCCCAUGUGAGAAACUUAGUAUUACUUCUCUGACCUUACUUCUCAACCUCUCCAGCAAUGCUCUUAGUGGCUCCAUUCCAACACAGAUAGGAAAGUUGAACAACCUUGUCACAAUCGACUAA